rnacentral:rRNA from 1 species
GAUCCAGAACUUUGAUUAUUGGCUCAGGACGAACGCUGGCGGCAUGCCUAACACAUUGCAAGUCGAACGGAGUUGUUAUUUAGAAGUUCUUCGGGAUGGAAGAAAUAAGAGCUUAGUGGCGGACGGGUGAGUAACGCGUGGGUAACCUGCCCUUUUGUGGGGAACAACUUCGAGAAAUCGGAGCUAAUACCGCAUAAUAAUAGAGGGUCGCAUGAUUCUUUAAGGAAAGAUGGCCUCUGAAGAUGCUAUCGCAAAAGGAUGGACCCGCGUCUGAUUAGCUAGUUGGAAGGGUAACGGCCUACCAAGGCAACGAUCAGUAGCCGGCCUGAGAGGGUGAACGGCCACAUUGGGACUGAGACACGGCCCAAACUCCUACGGGAGGCAGCAGUGGGGAAUCUUCCGCAAUGGGCGAAAGCCUGACGGAGCAAUGCCGCGUGAGUGAAGAAGGCCUUCGGGUUGUAAAACUCUGUCCUUAUCGAAGAGAGGUAGGUAUGUGAAUAAUGUACCUAUAGGACGGUAGAUAAGGAGGAAGCCCCGGCUAACUACGUGCCAGCAGCCGCGGUAAUACGUAGGGGGCGAGCGUUGUCCGGAAUCACUGGGCGUAAAGGGCGCGUAGGCGGUUUGAUAAGUCAGUGGUGAAAACUGAGGGCUCAACCCUCAGCCUGCCACUGAUACUGUUAGACUUGAGUAUGGAAGAGGAGAAUGGAAUUCCUAGUGUAGCGGUGAAAUGCGUAGAUAUUAGGAGGAACACCAGUGGCGAAGGCGAUUCUCUGGGCCAAGACUGACGCUGAGGCGCGAAAGCGUGGGGAGCAAACAGGAUUAGAUACCCUGGUAGUCCACGCCGUAAACGAUGGAUACUAGGUGUUAGGGGUUUCGAUGCUCCUAGUGCCGGAGUAAACACAAUAAGUAUCCCGCCUGGGGAGUACGGUCGCAAGACUGCAACUCAAAUGAAUUGACGGA